CCGGCCGCAGCCCCCGACGCACGGCCUCCCUGCCCGGCGUCUCCCCCCGACUCGUCCCUAGAGGCUCGGGGGCGGCGAGUGCCGCGGACCUAGCGGUGGGGUGCGGGCGCCGGGGAGCCGGGGGCUCCUCUAGCGCCGACGAGGACGUCACUUUGAGCGAAAGACAAUGUCAAGUGCAAGUGAAGAAAAAAAGGAGAGGAGUACGAAGUAAAUGUACCCAGGGCGCGUUGGACACUCUUACAAUGGACACUCAGUCGACGGAAACCAUCAGUUGAGGGUCGGGAGUGAGAAAAUCUGAUUUUCUAUUUCCUGAACCGCCUCCCAUUGCUCCAGAAUUUAACCCCGAAGGAGCUUCGAGACACCGCCCGCACCGUAAAUCCCUGGGACUCGCACCCCGCAGACCGGCGUCCCGUGCCGCCUCCCAGACGGGCGCCCCGAGGCUGGCGCUGGCCCGUCUUUCCCUCCGGGCCCGCCUGAGGUUCCUGGCCGAGCCCGACCUUGCCCGUUCUUCCGCCUGCGCCCGGGAGAGGCCUGGAGGCCUGGGCCCGGCGCCGCUUCGGGCAGCAGGGCUCCGGGUUGGCCGGGGACGCAGCCCGGGCGCGAGCGCGCGAACGAGGCCGCGCCACCCCCGCCGCCGGGCGCAGGUGGAGGUGCUCUGUGGGCCGCUUACCCCGGGGCCGAAGGCGGGCCGGGCCCCCAGUUACUCGGGAAAGGUCUAUUUUCGGGCCCCCCUCCCCCGCCCAGCGUGCGCCCUCCCCUCCUCCCCUCCGGUACAGUUUGUCUUUUUCGGUUUCUUUCCUCGACGCUUCUCGGUUCCUCCAUCCCUUUGCGGCACGCGCCCACUACCAACCCCGCGGGCGAACUGGAGGGCUCUGCGUGCCCCGGGGCCGCCUCCCCUACGGGCCGGGGACCGAGGGGGAGGCCGCCUUGCCGCCGGGAGCAGCGCGGACGGGAGAUGCGCGGAACGUCCAGGACGGGGAGGGGGCCGCGCCAGCGCCCGGGCCCUGCGUCCCUCCCCAUCUGUCGGACCAAAGCUGCUGAAGCUGCAGAAUUGCGCUGGCGCCCGUCCACCGGCUGCAAACAAAACCAAACAAAACGCGGCGAAAGGAAAAGCGAAAUGGCGCUGCUGAAAAUGGAGCCUCGGCCUCUAGGACGUCUUUCUUUCCUCCUCUGUCUCUUACUUCGUCUACUUUGUGUUUCUAGUCCUUCAACGCCCCCCUCCUCGGCUCUCCUCCCCGUAAUCUCUACCCCAUUGUCCUUUUGCUUUUCUGAUUAACAAUCUCCUUCCCCCGCUUUUCCUUCUUUUCUUUCCCCUCUUGGUUCCUCCUUCUCCAUUUUGUGUCACAGGCGCUUCUCUUCUCAGUUCCCUUUCUGGGCUCGCGCUCCCCCGCCCGUCUCACUUGGGUGUUUUCUGCGUUUCGGGGAGCGGGGGUGGUAGGGACGGUGAGGCUAGGUAGCCAGUGGGUUCGGUAGAGACAGGUUUUAUUUAGAACCCAAACAGCUCCUUUAAUUAGUCGUGCGCUCGCCCUGCGCCCUCGUCCCCCGCGGCUCUGCGCCCGGACUCGCGCGGCGCCGUCCCACCAGCCGGGCGUCACCGCCCAGGAGGAGGCUCAGGGCUUACGCAGAAGUGAAUACCUUUUUAUAUAUUUUAAGCUUAGUUUAUCGUUUUUGCAGUGUUCGUGAGCAUGGCAUACUUUGGAUAGGUGGAUUUCAUUUUCCCAAGGGACUUCCAAAGACCAUUUUAAGAGAAGCGUGUGGAGAAGACAGCAAUAUUAAUCAUUUUUUCUUGCUUUCUUUUGAGCAGAGGGAACCCCAAGCACUAAGAUACUUAUGUUUUUAAGGCCAAACUUUUUGCAAAUGACUUUUUCUUUUACACUCAUAGUUGACUUUGAUCCUUUAAAAAAAGAGGGUGAACUCUUUCAAAAGAGACCGAUGCUUUUGAAUACAUAACACCCCCCAAUUGUGGUUCUCGGAUAGUUUCUCUAGACGCAUUAUGAUUUUGAGGUUCAAGGUCUCUAAGCGCUCUUCAGUGAAACAGUGGGAAAUAUGUUGCUACGUUAAAGAUAAAGCAGAAGGUUUUAAUCCAGGCUCCUGCUUCUUUGUUACGCUUUUCUCCUGGUAGAUGAACAAAUAAAAUGAGUCUCACUGGAAGGAUUAUUAUAAUUGGACUUCCCUGGUGGCGCAGUGGUUAAGAAUCUGCCGGCCAACGCAGGGGACACGGGUUCGAGCCCUGGUCCGGGAAGAUCCCACGUGCCGCGGAGCAACUAAGCCCGUGUGCCACAACUACUGAGCCUGCGCUCUAGAACCCGCGAGUCACAACUACUGAAGCCCAUGCACCUAGAGCCCGUGCUCUGCAACAAGAGAAGCCACUGCAAUGAGAGGCCUGCGCACAGCAAUGAAGAGUAGCCCCUGCUCGCUGCAACUAAAACAAAAAAAAAAGAAAGCCCGCAAGGAGCAACAAAGACCCAACGCGGCCAAUAAUAAGAAGUAGCUGCAAGGAGGAGGCUAUUCCCAGGGCUUUGGCCUGUACGCACCCCCCAUACCUGAAAUUUUAUUGGAACUGUGGAAAUGGAGCAGUGGUUUCACUUUUCACUCUGCCUUCACUGGGACUCCCUGGAAGAAGUGCUGUGCCAGUGACUGGUGUUUCUCCUGAAUAAAGCAUCUUGGCCUUAAUGACCGGAGGUUUGGAUCCUCUGGUUUCAUCUAAAUUAUACCCUCUGAUUGAUUUAAGAUGUUAUUUUUUCUUUCAUUUCUUUUAAACAGAACUACUGAUCUUUGAAAAAUUUUAAAUAGCAUCUGUACGACAAUUUGGAAGCGAAAGAAAUAUAAUGUGUUAUUUUCCAAUAGGGUCUAUGACUAAGGCAGGGCACAUAUCAUUAAUUCUAUGGAGGAGGAAACAGAGGAACACGUCCUCCACACCUGGUAAUAUUUAGUGCCCUUCCCGCUCUAUCUGCCGACUUUGCCGGACUCAUUCCACACCGGUUUUCUCCUGGUCUCUCUCUGAGUUCCUCCACUGACUGACUCUUCCCUCCCACCCCAGGCAAUCCACAGCCGAGGAAUGGAAUCUCCCUUUGCUGUCUGCUCAUCUCUUUAUUCUUUCGAAGUAAAUGAAAAGAGGAUAUCUGUUCUGAAUUUUUUAAUGUUCAUUUCUAAUGGGUGAGUUCAGAAAGAUAGGCAGGACUGAGAAUUUGUCAGUGCGUUCACUGUAUAGACAGGGUAGCAAAAAACUUGCCUCCAACUGCUCCUGUGAACACGAACACAUCAUGGAAAAUAAAAGGCUCUGGCUACCGCAUGGACGGUGGUGUGGUCAAGAGGCGGACUGAGAGGUAGAACCCGUCAAAGUUUCUGAGAUACCCAUAGGGUCCUCCUGGAGCGGUUUUCCCACGCUACUGAAGAGAGUGGAAACCUGUGCUGCUCCCCGACCCUCCUCUCGCCACCAUUUCUAGCUGGAUCAAGGAUUCUAUUCAUCUGGACACAGUUGAAAUCAUCGAUACUGUUAGCGAAUCAUACUUUUUCACUACUGAGAUAAGCAAUGAUUAAUAUUUUCAUUCUGGAUUAUUUGGUAAAACCAUCGAAAAUGAUUUCUACCUCCAAAAGAGAGGUUCAUGAAGAAAGAACUACAUUUUUAAAUAAUUUUGAUUGAACCCAUUAGAGUAGAAUAUCAGUAGAUUAUUUCUGCCUCAUUUUGCCUUUUCUCGUAUACCAUGUCUGUUUAAUUAAAAAUAAA